AGAGAUUGAGGAAAAUAAACACAACGUAGCGACAGACACCACUGUUCUUCCCGCUCUUUCGACGUUACCGCGUUACCGGUCAGCCGUACCAUAUUAAACAGUUCAUUCCAGUUUUGACUGUCGUGCAGAGUGCUUGUCCAUCACUAUAAUUUAUUCGUUAACGACAAGUGGUUUAUUUUUGUACAUAAUAGUAAUUAAAUAAUUACUAUUAAAAGUUUUCAUGUUUGCCCACAUUAAGUUUUUAAAAAGUGGAAAGUAUAAAACAGUUGAUGUAAGUAAAAUUAUCAAUUAUAAACCUGAUUGUCCAACAAAAAUUUUCAAAAUUGAAGAAGACGGGAUAAUUCAUAAAACGGUUGUUGUUGCUGUGCAUGAUUCGAUCCAGGAAUUAUCGGAAAUUGUGGAAUCAUCACGUCAAAAGGCUCAGCCUUUGGCAUUAUUAUCCGAGCCGUCAGAAGAAAAUUUAAAAGUUAAAAAAAAGACUGAUAAAUUGGAUAAUACUUUGAACAUCCUCAACAGCCGAUUACUUCGCAAAGAUCCGGAACGCUUCAAUAUGGAAAAUGUAACCUCAAUAAAAGAAGAUAUACAACCGAAUGAUUUUUCGGAAAAUAAGGUCAUUAACUCAACUGGAGAGGGUCAUAAUCCUAAAAAGCGUAAAAUCAAAGCCAAGAAAGAUUCGUUGAAGGAAAAAGAAUGCCAGAAAAAAAGCAAAAAUGGUGAAACUAUCAAAAAAAUAAAGACGGAGCAAAGUAUAAAAAACAAAAAAUCUCUGAUGAUUGCUAAAGAUGAGAAAAUGAUAAAACCGGUAAUUCUUGUCAUACCGAACGAAAAUGAAGUAAUCAAUACUCCACAGAAAGAUGGGACUUCUCCGCAAGAAAGUAAUUUGUCUCCAACGCUAGAUAUGUUUCCAGAUUUACGUGACACGGUAUUAAUACCACAUAGUAUUGAUGAUGGAGAAAUUAUUGCUGUAGAUCAAGCUCCUGCAAUCCCAUCAACAUCACGUAAUGGUCUUUCUCAAACCAGAUUUUCAACUCAGACAGUCAAACGAAAGCUUGAAACUGGACCUGCACGGACUAAAAAUCAUAAAACAACAUGAAAGGGUACUAAAAAAGUUAAAAAAAGUACCAUCGAAAAAUUACAGCAGGAACUUCGGACUCUAAAAGACGAAUUUCAAAGAAGUGAAAAAAAACGAGAAAUCUUUGUAAACGAAACUCAGGAGAGCUUAAAAAAUAUUACCUCGUUAAAAGAAAUAAAUAAAAAGAUUCUUGUUACGAUUUCUGACAACUGGAAUGAAUUUCGUGAUUCAUAUUGGUCAAGGAAUAUGUAUUCCUACAAUAUAUAUCAAUAUAUUCCUACAAUAUAUUCCUACACCAUACUAUAAUUCUGCGGCUUAUAAAGCGAAAACUGGAAGACAGUUCGUGAAGAAGCUAGUUAUAAUGCUAUUUACUGAAGAGGAGUUGAACACUCAUAGUGUACGAGGUGGGAAAUCUAACAAAGUAAAAGUGGAAGUACAAAAACCAGCUUUGGAUCCAACUCGUCUCUUAGCGCUUAAAAAUAUUUUUGAAUUUUACCUCACGUCGGUCCGGAUGGAGCCAGCUAAAAUUCAGAUAGAAUUGAAACAAAUGGACGAUCACGUAAGAAGCAAAAUUGCUGAUUUGCGGAAGACAUCUACAAAACAAAAUUCAAAGGAAAAGAAAACAAAAAAAAAAUAAGCAACAAUGAGGGAUGCAACAAAGAAAAUAAAGAUGAAAAUGAAGAGGAAUAUGAGGAAGAAAAUGAAGAACAGGAUGAAGAAGAGGAUGAAGAAGAGAAGGAAAAAGAGGAUGGAGAAGAGUAUGAUGAAGAGGAAAAAAGUAGUGACGGAGAAAAAAAAUAAUUUAUAAACAUAGAUUAAUAUUAACCAAUUAGUUAGACGAGGGCAUGAGAUGAGGCUAGCGGAAAUUCAAUUUUACCCAGAAGCUGAAGCAGCUAAUAUGAACAACAUCAACUAACUGGACAAGUUUACCUGAAAAAUGGAGACAUGCUACGGACAGUCGAUCAUUCUUGAUGGAUAAAUACAAUUUUUUUAAUUUUCAUAAUUAAUUAAAUUGUAAAAAAUAACCUAUUAAAUGAAAUUCACAGU